rnacentral:tRNA from 1 species
GUGGUUGUGGCUCAGCAGUAGAGUGCUUAUCUAGCAUAUGUGAGGCACUGGGUUCAAUUCUUAGCACCACA